rnacentral:lncRNA from 1 species
AGGGAACUCCUCCAUAAACUCGUGUUCGAGUGUGAGCUUUUUGAGGUGAAAGCAUGCCGGUCUUUUGAAGAGGGAGCCACUCGUGACGUCAAUGCUUAAAUCGUGACGUCUUAAAAAUUUAACUCCCAAAAUUGGAGGAUCCUCGUCUACUACAUAAGAAAUCUAAGAGUAGUUCUUCCCGUCAAAGACGAUAUCCAGAACGACAUCGCCCUCCAAAGGCGACUAAGUACGGUAGCUUAAUCUUUUUGAAACCUUUAAGUGGCAAUUAUUGUUAAACAAGAGACGUGAGCUCCUGAAUCGAUAAGGACUUAAUUUUGUUUUUAGUGUCGAUUGCGUAAAUUGGAUCCUUAUCUGGGUUUAAUACCUCAGCUCCGAAGAGCUUAGGACUACUUAGUUUUUUUAGAUGAGAGAAAAGAAGGGACAUGGGGGUCCGGAGCACGUCUUUGCCUCAUCACCAUAAGUCCUGUGUUUAUAACGCUUCAAAUAUUUCACCCGAGCUCGAGUAAGGAGAAUCAAAAGAUGAUAUCUCAGCCGUAGUGGAUUCCUUGAAACCAUCGCAAACCUUCACAGUAGAGAGCUCUGAAGGAAGUUCUUUUGACCUAGUGAUUGGCAUUGUGUUCGAAUGUUGGAGUCACCAAUGAAGAAGUCUACACAGGUUGGUUAUCGUACUUCAACUAACUUUAACUUUAUUAGUGUCCUUCUAUGGGACAUAUUAUUGGUAUAAACAAGAAGAGUUCUAAGAAGUCCUUCAUAUAUAUUGGAUUUAUAGAAUCUUAAUGGUGUCAAACAACCUUUUCUACAAAAAGAGGAAGUAAUUAACUGUAUAACCAGCUAUAGUUCAGAGUAAGUAGAUCAACGAGCAUAAGGACCAAGAGUAUUUAUAUCGAUAACUGACUAAAGGAUUAAAUCAAGAGUAUACGUUUGUGUUAAAUCUUUAUAAAGAGAAUUGGAUUAAGGCCAUCAGGACCUACUAUACUCAUCAUUUAUUUACUAAGAAACCUCUUAUGGGUUGUUACAGAAAAGAAGGAUCAUGUUCAGUAAAGUAUAAUUGAAAAAACAUAGAUAAACAAGAUUGUAGAACUGAUCCAAGAAAAAUAUAAACAUUGAAUUGUGUAUUUUAAUUAUUUAAUAGUACUUAUUAAAUGAAAGAUAAGUCAAGUAUUAUUUAAUAAAAAAUUUAUAGUUA